CCCUCGCCACGAACGAUGUAAAACAAACACCCGCUGGCCUCUCAUAUAGAAUUUCAUCUCUCGCCAUGGUAUACAGGCCUGGCAUCUGGUACGAUACUCUCGAAGUCUCAAAAACCACCUUACAACUCUGAGCGGUGGAUCACUUGGCUUGUGGAUGCUAUGAAGACCAUAGCUAAGUGUGAGAAUGGCAGCGAGCCGUCGCUAUAUGCGCUGUCCUCUUCUUAUCACAUGUCGAAUGCACAUUGCGCCCCACCCAGUGGUUUACAACCUGCAGACAAAAGCCUGGUUGGAACAAANGNUGUGUGGCCUCCGAGCAACGGCGGGGGAGCCAGGAGCACAGGCGCGUGCGUUCCAGCCACUCGUAAGUAGUCAGGCCGACCCUAUGGUGGGGCACUCCUAGUCGAGUGUGGUGGAUCGAACUCAUCUCUCGCCACGGCUUGAGCUUGAGUUUGUUGCUGGUGGAUUUGGGUCGACAUCAGUCGCGCCCAACUGCCUUGGCUCGUGCCUCUGUGCUGUGUCCUCAUACAUUGAAGGCCAUAGCUGGCGAUCACUCUUGCGACCAGGGCACACCUUUGGUGGUGCGCAGCGGUCCAAGUUUUCACGAGUACCGUGUGUGUAGUGUUUGCUUACUGCGUGUGGCUUUUUGUCAAACUCUGGUGAAGGAGUAUUAGGCUAGCAUAACAUUGCUUCACACGCGCAGACUCACGAGUUCGGGUGUGUGUGUGUGUGGCGAGAUAGGAAGACGCAAAUAUAUCAGGAGAGGCGGCGAACGUAUAAAAGCAUAUAUCUCGUGCCACCACCUCGACUUAGGAGAGGUUACCCGCUGAACUUAAGCAUAUCAGUAAGCGGAGGAAAAGAAACCAAUCAGGGAUUCCCUCAGUAGGGGCGACCGAACAGGGAUGAGCCCAGCGCAGAACCUCCCGGGCCACCCGGCCUGCGGCGGAAUGUUGCGUUAAGGGAAAGGUCGUAGUCAAACCCCACAGCCACGCGAGCUCUAAGUAAGCCACGAAUCGGCUGUCCCAACUAACGGCGGGAAAGUCUCCACGGAGGGUGUAAGACCCGUGUGGGCGCGUGCAAAUGCUGUGCGGGUUCGGCCUCUUUUCCCUGAGAGUCGCGUUGCUUGAGCAUGCAGCGCUAAGCAGGUCGUAAACUCGAUCUAAGGCUAAAUAUGUCCACAAGACCGAUAGCGAACAAGUACCGUGAGGGAAAGUGAAAAGCACUCUGAAGAGAGA
rnacentral:rRNA from 1 species